rnacentral:snoRNA from 1 species
GAGGAACUGCCGAAAGCACUUCCCCGUGUUUGGAGGGCCGGUCCUGUCCCUUACAAACUCUGGAGCUUUCGAACA